rnacentral:tRNA from 1 species
UGGGGUAUAACUUGGUGGUAGAGUGUGUGCUUAGCAAGCACAAGACCUUAGGUUCAAUCCCCAACAUCAAAA